CCUCGUCUGAGCACCUCUGUCCAUACUUUCAUGCUGCAGUUGACAGGGUUCAGUCACAGAACCAUUCCUGAGUCUGUCUGCUUGUUGCUCCUGCUGCAGGCUGCUGUUCCAUGAUUUAAAUCACCUCGUACACACUUUCCAAGCUUUCUCCUGCCUGAUAGCAAAAGGAACUCUGUCCUUAACACCUGUGAAGAGCAUGCUGGGAAUAACUUCAGGCAUAGUAAUUGGACUGUUGAAGUCUAAGCAAAUACCCUUCACGGAGCAACUUCAUGGGGUAACUCAACUGUUUUGCUGGAGGGAGUUGUCUUAGGACAAGCUCUCACUGAGAACCUGUUCCUCUUCUUCCAGUGCCCUUUCUGAAGGGAGGGGAAGAGAAAACCAACAACAUAGCAUGGAGAAAGGAGAAUGGGAAAAUGUUGGCAUUUGGGAACACACAUGAUUCUAGGUGCUUUGCUUCCUUCUCUCUCUCCUUCUGCAGACUGUGCUUAGGAAAAUCUUCAUUGCUGAUGGUGACAAAUCAGCAUCUGCACAAACUGAUGUGCUGGUGAAUUUGUCCAGCUUGGAGAUCUGCUACACUUCCAUCACAUUGCUCAGGCUGCUGGCCAGCUUUCUGACUGGAGAUUGGACCACCUCUGCUCAGGGCUGUGUGGCUAAGCUCUAUUUCUUUGGAUCUCUUGCAGCUUCUUAGUGCUACUAGCUGGCAACCAUGUCCUACCAUUGGUACCUGGUCAAAAUGAUAUUGAACCCAAAAGACAUAUGUUUUCCCCCCUUUGAUAGAGCAAGGGGCAAAAUUUGAAAUGCAUUAUGAGCAGAUAGGUCUAACCUUUGCUAUGUUUAGUUAGAUAGGAGGAAGUUUGGAAACUUUGUAUUACUUAGCCAGCUUCAUCUGUAAGCAAAUACAGACUUGUACCUCAAAGUGAAAGCAAGAUGAUCCAGGCCUGGAGGAUGUGUCAGAAGAAGAUGAGAUGAGGAACUCAUGUUAUGCAUAUGUCCUUGGAUGUGUAAAUGACUAAGCUCAGUGUGCAUGCCAAAGUUGAAACAAUAAGAAAAGAAAGAAUGAGAAGGCAUGAUCAAUCACAAGAACUGGGUUCAACCAGUGAACACAGCGAGGAAGACUACUGAUGACCACCAGAAGACCUUGAAAGACCACCAGUAGAAACAAAUGUGCAUGCAUCAGGAACAUUUGAGUAUUUUAAUGAUUUAUGGAACGUAAUAUGAAUAUAAUAAUUAUCCAAUAGAAAUCGAAUAAAUAUGUAUAUUUUGAUUGCAUAUAACCUUUGUGAUUGAGCAACUCAGUAUGCACACUAGGUGAAGUGUUCCCCUGUGCGUCUGGCACCGCAAUUAAAGAAUGCCUGCUUUCUAAAAC